GAUGAACGCUGGCGGCGUGCCUAACACAUGCAAGUCGAGCGGGGGAGUCCUUCGGGACACUCCAGCGGCGGACGGGUGAGUAACGCGUGGGUAAUCUGCCGUGGAAACGGGGAUAACAGUUGGAAACGACUGCUAAUACCCGAUAAGCUCACAGUGUUGCAUAACACAGUGAGAAAAGGACGUCAAAAUCCGAUUCACGAGGAGCCCGCGUCUGAUUAGCCGGUUGGUGGGGUAACGGCCUACCAAAGCAACGAUCAGUAGCCGACCUGAGAGGGUGAUCGGCCACAUUGGGACUGAGACACGGCCCAAACUCCUACGGGAGGCAGCAGUGGGGAAUAUUGCACAAUGGACGGAAGUCUGAUGCAGCAACGCCGCGUGAGGGAAGAAGGUUUUCGGAUCGUAAACCUCUAUCAACAGGGACGAAAGAAAUGACGGUACCUGAGUAAGAAGCCCCGGCUAACUACGUGCCAGCAGCCGCGGUAAAACGUAGGGGGCAAGCGUUAUCCGGAAUUACUGGGUGUAAAGGGUGAGUAGGCGGUUCGACAAGUCACAUGUGAAAUCCCGAGGCUUAACCUGGGGACUGCAUGAGAAACUGACGGACUAGAGUACAGGAGAGGUAAGCGGAAUUCUUAGUGUAGCGGUGAAAUGCGUAGAUAUUAAGAAGAACACCAGUGGCGAAGGCGGCUUACUGGACUGAAACUGACGCUGAGUCACGAAAGCGUGGGGAGCGAACAGGAUUAGAUACCCUGGUAGUCCACGCCGUAAACGAUGAUUGCUAGGUGUUGGCGCGAGAGCGUCGGUGCCGGAGUAAACACAAUAAGCAAUCCACCUGGGGAGUACGGCCGCAAGGCUG
rnacentral:rRNA from 1 species